GGGUCGUUAGCUCAGUUGGUAGAGCAGCGGACUUUUAAUCCGUUGGUCGCGCGUUCGAGCCGCGCACGGCCCACCA
rnacentral:tRNA from 1 species